rnacentral:rRNA from 1 species
AAGUGGGGGCAACCCUGCGAGUACAGCGGCGCACGGGUGAGUAACACGUAGGUAACCUACCUCCGAGAUUGGGAUAACCUGUCGAAAGACGGGCUAAUACCGAAUAAGACCACGAAGGCUAUGGCCUUUGGGGUAAAAGGUGGCCUCUGCUUGCAAGCUACUACUUAGAGAUGGGCCUGCGUGCCAUUAGCUAGUUGGCGGGGUAACGGCCCACCAAGGCGAAGAUGGCUAGCUGGUCUGAGAGGAUGACCAGCCACACUGGGACUGAGACACGGCCCAGACUCCUACGGGAGGCAGCAGUGGGGAAUAUUGCGCAAUGGGCGAAAGCCUGACGCAGCGACGCCGCGUGGGUGAUGAAGGCCUUCGGG